AGAGUUUGAUCCUGGCUCAGGACGAACGCUGGCGGCGUGCUUAACACAUGCAAGUCGAACGAUGAAGCCCUUCGGGGUGGAUUAGUGGCGAACGGGUGAGUAACACGUGGGCAAUCUGCCCUUCACUCUGGGACAAGCCCUGGAAACGGGGUCUAAUACCGGAUAACACUCCUGCCUGCAUGGGCGGGGGUUAAAAGCUCCGGCGGUGAAGGAUGAGCCCGCGGCCUAUCAGCUUGUUGGUGGGGUAAUGGCCCACCAAGGCGACGACGGGUAGCCGGCCUGAGAGGGCGACCGGCCACACUGGGACUGAGACACGGCCCAGACUCCUACGGGAGGCAGCAGUGGGGAAUAUUGCACAAUGGGCGAAAGCCUGAUGCAGCGACGCCGCGUGAGGGAUGACGGCCUUCGGGUUGUAAACCUCUUUCAGCAGGGAAGAAGCGAAAGUGACGGUACCUGCAGAAGAAGCGCCGGCUAACUACGUGCCAGCAGCCGCGGUAAUACGUAGGGCGCAAGCGUUGUCCGGAAUUAUUGGGCGUAAAGAGCUCGUAGGCGGCUUGUCACGUCGGAUGUGAAAGCCCGAGGCUUAACCUCGGGUCUGCAUUCGAUACGGGCUAGCUAGAGUGUGGUAGGGGAGAUCGGAAUUCCUGGUGUAGCGGUGAAAUGCGCAGAUAUCAGGAGGAACACCGGUGGCGAAGGCGGAUCUCUGGGCCAUUACUGACGCUGAGGAGCGAAAGCGUGGGGAGCGAACAGGAUUAGAUACCCUGGUAGUCCACGCCGUAAACGUUGGGAACUAGGUGUUGGCGACAUUCCACGUCGUCGGUGCCGCAGCUAACGCAUUAAGUUCCCCGCCUGGGGAGUACGGCCGCAAGGCUAAAACUCAAAGGAAUUGACGG
rnacentral:rRNA from 1 species